rnacentral:rRNA from 1 species
UACGGAGGGGGCUAGCGUUGUUCGGAAUUACUGGGCGUAAAGCGCGCGUAGGCGGCUUUUGUAAGUUAGAGGUGAAAGCCCGGAGCUCAAACUCCGGAACUGCCUUUAACGACUGCAUCGCUAGGAAUUGUGGAGAGGUAAGUGGAAUUCCGAGGUGUAGAGGUGGAAAUUCGUGAGAUAUUCGGAAGAACACCAGUGGCGAAGGCGGAACUUACUGGACACAGUAUUGACGCUGAGGUGCGAAAGCGAUGGGGAGCAAACAGGG